UACGUAGGGUGCUAGCGUUGUUCGGAAUCAUUGGGCGUAAAGCGCGUGUAGGUGGUUAGUAAAGUUGGAUGUGAAAUCCCUGGGCUCAACCGAGGAAGUGCAUUCAAAACUAACUAGCUUGAGAGUGGUAGAGGAAGGUGGAAUUCCUAGUGUAGAGGUGAAAUUCGUAGAUAUUAGGAGGAAUACCGGAGGCGAAGGCGGCCUUCUGGACCAUUUCUGACACUGAGACGCGAAAGCGUGGGUAGCAAACAGG
rnacentral:rRNA from 1 species